AACGAACGCUGGCGGCAUGCCUAACACAUGCAAGUCGAACGAGACCUUCGGGUCUAGUGGCGCACGGGUGCGUAACGCGUGGGAACCUGCCCUUAGGUUCGGAAUAACUCCCCGAAAGGGGUGCUAAUACCGGAUAAUGUCUUCGGACCAAAGAUUUAUCGCCUUUGGAUGGGCCCGCGUUGGAUUAGCUAGUUGGUAGGGUAAAAGCCUACCAAGGCGACGAUCCAUAGCUGGUCUGAGAGGAUGAUCAGCCACACUGGGACUGAGACACGGCCCAGACUCCUACGGGAGGCAGGAGUGGGGAAUAUUGGACAAUGGGCGAAAGCCUGAUCCAGCAAUGCCGCGUGAGUGAUGAAGGCCUUAGAGUUGUAAAGCUCUUUUACCCGGGAUGAUAAUGACAGUACCGGGAGAAUAAGCUCCGGCUAACUCCGUG
rnacentral:rRNA from 1 species